rnacentral:rRNA from 1 species
GACGAACGCUGGCGGCAGGCCUAACACAUUCAAGUCGAGCGGAGCGGAGGACGGGUGAGUAAUGCCUAGGAAUCUGCCUGGUAGUGGGGGAUAACGUCCGGAAACGGGCGCUAAUACCGCAUAAUAUCAGAUGAGCCUAGGUCGGAUUAGCUAGUUGGUGGGGUAAAGGCCUACCAAGGCGCCGAUCCGUAACUGGUCUGAGAGGAUGAUCAGUCAAACUGGAAGUGAGAAACGGUCCAGACUCCGAAGGGAGGCAGCAGUGGGGAAUAUUGGACAAUGGGCGAAAGCCUGAUCCAGCCAUGCCGCGUGUGUGAAGAAGGUCUUCGGAUUGUAAAGCACUUUAAGUUGGGAGGCGUUACCAACAGAAUAAGCACCGGCUAACUUCGUGCCAGCAGCAGCGGUAAUAC